rnacentral:tRNA from 2 species
CCGCUCCUAGCUCAACUGGAUAGAGCGUCGGGCUUCGAACCCGAAGGUUGGGGGUUCGAGCCCCUCGGAGCGGGCCA